rnacentral:rRNA from 1 species
GCUACUGCCGGGCCAGCAUGCGAGGUAGUACGGAGGGGGAGAGCGUGGUGCGGGAUGACGGGGGGUAAAGGGCGCGGAGGCGGCCAUGCAAGUGAGGCGGGAAAGGCCUGGGCGCAACCUUGGAACGGCGCUUCAGACUGGACGUCUUGAGUCCGGGAGAGGGUGGUGGAAUUCCCAGUGGAGAGGUGAAAUUCGUAGAUAUUGGGAGGAACACCAGUGGCGAAGGCGGCCACCUGGCCCGGUACUGACGCUCAAGUGCGAAAGCGUGGGGAGCAAACAGGAUUAGAUACCCGAGUAGUC